rnacentral:piRNA from 1 species
UAGUUUUACUUCCUUGGUCUUCCUCAGAA